GACGAACGCUGGCGGCGUGCCUAAUACAUGCAAGUAGAACGCUGAAGAGAGGAGCUUGCUCUUCUUGGAUGAGUUGCGAACGGGUGAGUAACGCGUAGGUAACCUGCCUUGUAGCGGGGGAUAACUAUUGGAAACGAUAGCUAAUACCGCAUAACAAUGGAUGACACAUGUCAUUUAUUUGAAAGGGGCAAUUGCUCCACUACAAGAUGGACCUGCGUUGUAUUAGCUAGUAGGUGAGGUAAUGGCUCACCUAGGCGACGAUACAUAGCCGACCUGAGAGGGUGAUCGGCCACACUGGGACUGAGACACGGCCCAGACUCCUACGGGAGGCAGCAGUAGGGAAUCUUCGGCAAUGGGGGCAACCCUGACCGAGCAACGCCGCGUGAGUGAAGAAGGUUUUCGGAUCGUAAAGCUCUGUUGUAAGUCAAGAACGGGUGUGAGAGUGGAAAGUUCACACUGUGACGGUAGCUUACCAGAAAGGGACGGCUAACUACGUGCCAGCAGCCGCGGUAAUACGUAGGUCCCGAGCGUUGUCCGGAUUUAUUGGGCGUAAAGCGAGCGCAGGCGGUUUGAUAAGUCUGAAGUUAAAGGCUGUGGCUCAACCAUAGUUCGCUUUGGAAACUGUCAAACUUGAGUGCAGAAGGGGAGAGUGGAAUUCCAUGUGUAGCGGUGAAAUGCGUAGAUAUAUGGAGGAACACCGGUGGCGAAAGCGGCUCUCUGGUCUGUAACUGACGCUGAGGCUCGAAAGCGUGGGGAGCGAACAGGAUUAGAUACCCUGGUAGUCCACGCCGUAAACGAUGAGUGCUAGGUGUUGGAUCCUUUCCGGGAUUCAGUGCCGCAGCUAACGCAUUAAGCACUCCGCCUGGGGAGUACGACCGCAAGGUUGAAACUCAAAGGAAUUGACGGGGGCCCGCACAAGCGGUGGAGCAUGUGGUUUAAUUCGAAGCAACGCGAAGAACCUUACCAGGUCUUGACAUCCCGAUGCUAUUUCUAGAGAUAGAAAGUUACUUCGGUACAUCGGUGACAGGUGGUGCAUGGUUGUCGUCAGCUCGUGUCGUGAGAUGUUGGGUUAAGUCCCGCAACGAGCGCAACCCCUAUUGUUAGUUGCCAUCAUUCAGUUGGGCACUCUAGCGAGACUGCCGGUAAUAAACCGGAGGAAGGUGGGGAUGACGUCAAAUCAUCAUGCCCCUUAUGACCUGGGCUACACACGUGCUACAAUGGUUGGUACAACGAGUUGCGAGUCGGUGACGGCGAGCUAAUCUCUUAAAGCCAAUCUCAGUUCGGAUUGUAGGCUGCAACUCGCCUACAUGAAGUCGGAAUCGCUAGUAAUCGCGGAUCAGCACGCCGCGGUGAAUACGUUCCCGGGCCUUGUACACACCGCCCGUCACACCACGAGAGUUUGUAACACCCGAAGUCGGUGAGGUAACCUUUUGGAGCCAGCCGCCUAAGGUGGGACA
rnacentral:rRNA from 1 species